rnacentral:lncRNA from 1 species
AGAGCUCUAUGCUAUCGGCAGUAUAAAGUUUUUUAUGCUUUCGAUUUUUUAGCCCUUAAAUCAACCCCAUUGAUAAGUUCUAUUAUUAUUAACCAAUAGGGAGCACUCAAUCCUAAGGUUGGUGCUUUUGAGUUUUUAACUCUUGGAUGGAGAAAUGUAAGAUUGGGAUGAUGGUGAUAAGUGAUGAUAGGUGGUGAUAAGUGAAAUAGUGUUUGAUCUAAAGGCUAUUAGUAAUCAAGGAGUAAAUUCAAGCUUCUAAAAACCUAGAAGCACCAAGGGGGUAAUACUUCUAAAAGUAUUCUAGCUCAAUUCUAUAUGAGUUCAAAAUCAUUUCCAAUAACAGAUUUCCAUCACUUAUAGUUCAAAAUCAAAUUUCCAUCACUUAUCUCAUUAGAUCGAUUUUUAAGUUAGAAAUUAAUAAAUAGGACAAUUUACUUCCACGUCAUUUCCAAUAACAGAUGAUCCGAAUAGAAGAUUAACAUUAUUAACAUUAUUAACAAAA